GGACAACCUACCCUCAGCACGGGGAUAAACCCGGGNAAACUGGGUAUAAUACCCGAUAGUUCUGGUAUGCUGGAAUGCAUUCAGGACGAAAGCUCCGGCGACUGAGGAUGGGUCUGCGGCCUAUCAGGUAGUAGUGGGUGUAAUGUACCUACUAGCCUACGACGGGUACGGGUCGUGAGAGCGAGAGCCCGGAGAUGGAUUCUGAGACACGAAUCCAGGCCCUACGGGGUGCAGCAGGCGCGAAAACUUUACAAUGCUGGCAACAGCGAUAAGGGGACCUCGAGUGCCAGGAUACAAUCUUGGCUGUCGUAAUGCCUAAAAAGCAUUGCAUAGCAAGGGCCGGGCAAGACCGGUGCCAGCCGCCGCGGUAACACCGGCGGCUCGAGUGGUAACCGCUAUUAUUGGGUCUAAAGGGUCUGUAGCCGGCCGGAUAAGUCUCUUGGGAAAUCCAGCUGCUCAACAGUUGGGCUUUCAGGAGAUACUGUUCGGCUCGAGGCCGGGAGAGGUGAGAGGUACUUCAGGGGUAGGGGUGAAAUCUUGUAAUCCUUGAAGGACCACCAGUGGCGAAGGCGUCUCACCAGAACGGACCUGACGGCAAGGGACGAAAGCUAGGGGCACGAACCGGAUUAGAUACCCGGGUAGUCCUAGCCGUAAACGAUGCCCGCUAGGUGUCACGACGGUCGUGAAUCGUCGUGGUGCCGUAGGGAAGCCGCGAAGCGGGCCACUUGGGAAGUACGGCCGCAAGGCUGAAACUUAA
rnacentral:rRNA from 1 species